rnacentral:lncRNA from 1 species
GGAAGACUCAAGGGAUUGAGAAAAUUUGCACAGGAUCUCCUGACUCAAGGCUAAGACGAGAACAGCAGCUAUUCAGCCUUCCCUCACCGAUUCGAAGCAUUGAAAGGUCCUCGCCUGCUGAUGUUUCAGUUUCCUUGUUCCUAGCAAGAGCUUCGGAAUCAACAGAAGGGAACAAAGGCACCCGAAAAGCCCAGAUGGGUCACGACAACCAGUGAUUUUGAGCUCAGUUGUAUCGAUAUUUAUUUGCGACCUACUGAUUCAACCAAAAGAGGAGCUGGAGUGUCUGAGAUAUGCUCAGCUGGCAAUCUUCCACCAAUCAGUGUCUUAAGCCCAGACCUGGAAAUGGAGCAGUGGAUUUUAUGGGAAACAAACACCAAUGAUAAGGUUUGAUAUAUCUGUUAUUUGAUGAAACAAUAAGGAAAUUCAGAUGCAAGAUAC